UACGUAGGGUGCAAGCGUUGUCCGGAAUUAUUGGGCGUAAAGAGCUCGUAGGCGGUUUGUCGCGUCUGCUGUGAAAACUCGGGGCUUAACUCCGGGCCUGCAGUGGGUACGGGCAGACUAGAGUGCGGUAGGGGAGACUGGAAUUCCUGGUGUAGCGGUGAAAUGCGCAGAUAUCAGGAGGAACACCGGUGGCGAAGGCGGGUCUCUGGGCCGCAACUGACGCUGAGGAGCGAAAGCGUGGGGAGCGAACAGG
rnacentral:rRNA from 1 species